GAUGAACGCUGGCGGCGUGCCUAAUACAUGCAAGUCGAGCGAACGGACGAGAAGCUUGCUUCUCUGAUGUUAGCGGCGGACGGGUGAGUAACACGUGGAUAACCUACCUAUAAGACUGGGAUAACUUCGGGAAACCGGAGCUAAUACCGGAUAAUAUUUUGAACCGCAUUGUUCAAAAGUGAAAGACGGUCUUGCUGUCACUUAUAGAUGGAUCCGCGCUGCAUUAGCUAGUUGGUAAGGUAACGGCUUACCAAGGCAACGAUGCAUAGCCGACGUGAGAGGGUGAUCGGCCACACUGGAACUGAGACACGGUCCCGACUCCUACGGGAGGCAGCAGUAGGGAAUCUUCCGCAAUGGGCGAAAGCCUGACGGAGCAACGCCGCGUGAGUGAUGAAGGUCUUCGGAUCGUAAAACUCUGUUAUUAGGGAAGAACAUAUGUGUAAGUAACUGUGCACAUCUUGACGGUACCUAAUCAGAAAGCCACGGCUAACUACGUG
rnacentral:rRNA from 1 species